rnacentral:rRNA from 1 species
GUCUAGAGGCUUCGUCAAUGGGGGCAACCCUGAACGAGCGACGCCGCGUGUGGGAUCGAAGGCCUUCGGGUCGUAAACCACUGUCAUUGGGGAAGAAUGCCCGGAUGGCGAAUCCGGGAGCGACGGUACCCAGGGAGGAAGCCCCGGCUAACUCCGUGCCAGCAGCCGCGGUAAUACGGAGGGGGCAAGCGUUGUUCGGAUUUACUGGGCGUAAAGGGUGUGUAGGCGGCUGGAUAAGUCUGGUGUGAAAUCUUCACCGCUCAACGGGAAGGGGUCACUGGAAACUGUUCAGCUUGAGUAUGGUAGAGGCAAGCGGAAUUCCUGGUGUAGCGGUGGAAUGUGUAGAUAUCAGGAAGAACAUCGGUGGCGAAGGCGGCUUGCUGGGCCAUCACUGACGCUGAGACACGAAAGCGUGGGGAGCAAACGGGAUUAGAUACCCGAGUAGUCC